rnacentral:rRNA from 1 species
CAGCACCUCAAGUGGUCAGGAUGAUUAUUGGGCCUAAAGCAUCCGUAGCCUGCUUUGUCAGUUUUCGGUUAAAUCCAUACGCUCAACGUAUGGGCUGCCGGGAAUACUGCAGAGCUAGGGAGUGGGAGAGGUAGACGGUACUCGGUAGGAAGGGGUAAAAUCCUUUGAUCUAUUGAUGACCACCUGUGGCGAAGGCGGUCUACCAGAACACGUCCGACGGUGAGGGAUGAAAGCUGGGGGAGCAAACCGGAUUAGAUACCCGAGUAGUCC